rnacentral:rRNA from 1 species
GAUGAACGCUGGCGGCGUGCCUAAUACAUGCAAAUCGAGCGAACGGACGAGAAGCUUGCUUCUCUGAUGUUAGCGGCGGACGGGUGAGUACCACGUGGAUAACCUACCUAUAAGACUGGGAUAACUUCGGGAAACCGGAGCUAAUACCGGAUAAUAUUUUGAACCGCAUGGUUCAAAAGUGAAAGACGGUCUUGCUGUCACUUAUAGAUGGAUCCGCGCUGCAUUAGCUAGUUGGUAAGGUAACGGCUUACCAAGGCAACGAUGCAUAGCCGACCUGAGAGGGUGAUCGGCCACACUGGAACUGAGACACGGUCCAGACUCCUACGGGAGGCAGCAGUAGGGAAUCUUCCGCAAUGGGCGAAAGCCUGACGGAGCAACGCCGCGUGAGUGAUGAAGGUCUUCGGAUCGUAAAACUCUGUUAUUAGGGAAGAACAUAUGUGUAAGUAACUGUGCACAUCUUGACGGUACCUAAUCAGAAAGCCACGGCUAACUACGUG